rnacentral:tRNA from 1 species
AUAGUGUUAGUUAACUUAUAAUAUAUACUUGUCGUGUAUAGGUUGCUUUUUUAAAGCACACUAUU